GAUGAACGCUAGCGGCAGGCUUAAUACAUGCAAGUCGAGGGGCAGCGCAGUGUAGCAAUACAUGGGCGGCGACCGGCAAACGGGUGCGGAACACGUACGCAACCUACCCAUAACUGAUGAAUAGCCCUCCGAAAGGAGGAUUAAUACAUCGUAACUUAAUGAAGUGGCAUCGCUUUAUUAAUAUAGCUACGGCGGUUUUGGAUGGGCGUGCGCCUGGUUAGGUAGUUGGCGGGGUAACGGCCCACCAAGCCUGCUAUCAGUAACUGGUGUGAGAGCACGACCAGUCACACGGGCACUGAGACACGGGCCCGACUCCUACGGGAGGCAGCAGUAAGGAAUAUUGGUCAAUGGACGCAAGUCUGAACCAGCCAUGCCGCGUGAAGGAUGAAGGUCCUCUGGAUUGUAAACUUCUUUUGAAUGGGACGAAACCUCUUUUUCUUGAGAGACUGACGGUACCAUUAGAAUAAGCACCGGCUAACUCCGUGCCAGCCGCCGCCGUAAUAC
rnacentral:rRNA from 1 species